rnacentral:misc_RNA from 1 species
UUUUUUUUUUUUUUUUUUUUUUUUGUCAAUCAAAAACAUAAUCCUUUAGUGUACAUUACUAAAAUGGUCCAAAAUAUAGACAUCCACAGGCAAGUAAAUGUACACUGCAAAACACCUCAAAAAGUUCUACAACCAUGUUUCUGACCAUUUACCCUCAUAUGUGCUUGACAAAAAGAAAACAUGGCCAAACCCAUUUUCUAUUCACCACCAGCCCCAGCGUGCAACUGCUACCCACCAUCAAGAACCGAACCCAAAAACAGAAAAAGAAAAAUAUCACCCAAGAACUAGAGAAAAAUUAAUUCAAUUUCCACAGCAAACUAUCUGAAACGAAACCCAAGGCAUUGGAUGCAAUGAAAUCCUCAAUCUGAGAAGGGUUUGAU